GGGAAAUGUAGUUCUUCAGGGGGCGGGGCGCGGUGACUUACCUUUACAGAGUCCCCAAGCCUCUAGACAGCAUCCGCCUGCUCCCUUCCUGGCCCAGAGCUCUCAAAGCCUCACUCCUUGCCCUAUACCACCAAGCCAUUUUCCUCUAGUGCAACGUGAGCCACAGUAACCACAGUAACAUCUCUAUACACACUAAGGAGGGAGGGAGUCGAAGUCCCUUUGGCCAAACUAAAAUCUGAGCUCCAAUUUCACACGAAAAUCAAUGGCUUUGGCAGCAGAGUGAGCAUCUCUACACUCUGGUUCCUGGGAUCCAACUUUACUGGGGGAUGGAAGAGGAGAAGACACAGAGAAGGCCAUGUAAAAAUGGAGGCAGAGAUUAGAGUCAUGUAGCCAUAAGCCAAGUGAUCCUGGAGCCACAAGAAGCUAGAGGAAACAAGGAAGGAUUCUCUCUGGAGGUUUUCCAGAGGGAGCCUGACCCUACCAACACCUUGAUUUUAGACUUCUGAACUUAAGAACUGAGAAAAUAAAUUUCUGUUAUUUUAAGCCACCUCAUUUGUGGUACUUUGUUG
rnacentral:lncRNA from 1 species